AGUAAAGGUACUUUUACUUAAUUACAAUUUUUCAGUACUUUUUCACCUCUGAUGGUAAGAUAUGAUCUAAUGUAGUGGAUGAAGUGCAGUAAGUGAGGAAGUGCAGGGAGGAGAGUGUGGAGGAGUUUAGGACCUGGUGGAGCUGAUCUGAUCUGAUCUGAGUGUGAGGUGAGGAGUGUGUGGAUCAGGAGCUCCAGCAGCACCCGGCCCGGCUCAGCUCUCUCUCCCACACCGACCUCCAGCACCUCCUGCCCGGAUCACCAGCUGCCCUCCAGCGCCCGGACCCCCGUCUGAACCCGCUUCCGGUCUGGAAUGAGCUUCUGGAGACGAAACAAGAAGAAUGAGACCAACAAGGACUCACUUGAAAAAGAAGAUGCACCAGACGGCUCCUCCUCCCCCAUAAAGUCCCCAAUCAUAGACAGUGAUGGGCUGGAUCCCGUCCUCACAGACUUCAGGCUGCAGUUGCCAGACAAUGCAGAUGACCUGAGAGAUUCUGGAUCCUCCACCUCCUUGCUUCAGGCUACGUCAUUGCCUCACUCGUUCCGCAGCGUGAAGUUGAGGCAUUUUGUCCUGAGUCUUGUGACGAGGCGUCCUGCAGCCAGGCCUCGCUCACGAGCAUGUGC
rnacentral:lncRNA from 1 species